CAGCCGCCGCGGUAAAACGAAGGGUGCAAGCGUUAAUCGGAAUUACUGGGCGUAAAGCGUGCGUAGGCGGUGAGUUAAGUCUGCUGUGAAAUCCCCGGGCUCAACCUGGGAAUGGCAGUGGAUACUGGCUCGCUAGAGUGUGUCAGAGGAUGGUGGAAUUCCCGGUGUAGCGGUGAAAUGCGUAGAGAUCGGGAGGAACAUCAGUGGCGGAGGCGGCCAUCUGGGACAACACUGACGCUGAGGCACGAAAGCGUGGGGAGCAAACAGGAUUAGAUACCCCCGUAGUCCCUGUCUCUUAUAC
rnacentral:rRNA from 1 species